rnacentral:tRNA from 1 species
AGGCAUUGAGCACAACCGGACAGGGCGAGGGAUUCUUGAUCUCUCAGAUCAGGGUUCGAGUCCCUGGGUGCCCU